UCCCUGGUAGUAUAUCGGUUAGUACACGCGCCUGUCAGCCACUGAAAGCUGAGACUUUGGACGCGCGAAAGCUGGGUUCGACUCCCAGCCAGGGAG